rnacentral:rRNA from 1 species
AUGCUCUGUUUUUUUGUCGUCAAAGAUGUGAUUGGGCCGACGCUACUAGUCCUCAGUCAAGACAUUGAGCAAAAUGUUCAGUAUCUCCAUGCAACAGACUCUUUGGAAUACGCGAGCUUGACGGCGAUGGUGAUGAAGGAAGUGGUGGAAGGGACCUCAAAGAAGACCAAUAGUUGCGCCAGGGCAAUUAUCUGGUUGGCCAGGUCGGUGAAUUUCUCGAUACAUUUGCUGGAGGGAUUAGUGAAGAACUCAGAGUCAAGCCUGCAAGAGAUGGUGGAAGAAGCAUACAAGAGCACCCUCAAGCCGUUCCAUGGAUGGAUCUCAUCAGCUGCUUACAAGGUAGCAUUGCGUCUUAUUCCGGAAAGAGACAUCUUCAUUCAGUUGCUGAUGGGGAGCUGCCAGGAUCCUGGGUAUUUUGGUGAAGAUGUCAUGGUCUUGGUCUCCAUUGUACAACCUCUGCUAGAGGAGAUAAAUGCCAUUUUGGUAAAGCAACGGCUGGAAAGGCUAAAAUCCACCUGA